AGAGCGCGUGCGGCAGCCGAGCACAUGGGCCCGCGGGCCUGGCGGGCUCGGGGCGGCGGGGACUAAGAGGAGCCGCGAGCGACGAUGAGAUCUCGCAGGUCCCGGAACCCUCCGAGUGGAUUUUCAUGCAAAAAGGAUGAUGGGGGCCUCCGUGACCUGUAAGACCCGGCUGGACCCACCCUCCA
rnacentral:lncRNA from 1 species